rnacentral:lncRNA from 1 species
UAACAAUGGAUUACACCAUGUUGGACACCUCCAACCCUUGCCUUCUAAGUAAGAACACUUAUUUCUCAGGUAUAAGCCAACCUUCAACACUCCAAUUCAGGGUUUGGAUCAAUCCAAAUAAGUUUUGGAACUCUCCAAAACUCAAACACCCAAAAACUGUUUGACAAAAAUAGAGUAUACAAAUUUCAGUACACAAACCCCUUAAAUGUUAGAUGUGUG